AAAAAUUAAUAGUUAUUUUCUUUAAAUUUAAAAAAUUUGGCGGUAUUUUAUCUUAUUAGAGGAACCUGUUUUAUAAUUGAUAAUCCACGAUAAUUUUACUUUUUUUAAAUUCAUAUAUCGCUGUCAUGAAUAUAUAUAAAUCUAAUUUCUUUAAUAAUUUAUGUUAAGUCAAGAUGUGGUUUAGAAAAAAUGGGUUACAAUAAAUUUUUGGAAAGAAAUUGGAUUUAAUAGUAAAUUAUUAAUUAAUGAAUAAAGAUCUAAAAUAUG
rnacentral:rRNA from 1 species